CUUGGGGGAGCCUUAACACAUGCAAGCCGAGCGGUAGAGAUCUUUCGGGAUCUUGAGAGCGGCGUACGGGUGCGGAACACGUGUGCAACCUGCCUUUAUCAGGGGGAUAGCCUUUCCAAAGGAAGAUUAAUACCCCAUAAUAUAUCGAGUGGCAUCACUUGAUAUUGAAAACUCCGGUGGAUAGAGAUGGGCACGCGCAAGAUUAGAUAGUUGGUGAGGUAACGGCUCACCAAGUCUGCGAUCUUUAGGGGGCCUGAGAGGGUGAUCCCCCACACUGGUACUGAGACACGGACCAGACUCCUACGGGAGGCAGCAGUGAGGAAUAUUGGACAAUGGGUGGGAGCCUGAUCCAGCCAUCCCGCGUGAAGGAUGACGGCCCUAUGGGUUGUAAACUUCUUUUGUAUAGGGAUAAACCUACCCUCGUGAGGGUAGCUGAAGGUACUAUACGAAUAAGCACCGGCUAACUCCGUGCCAGCAGCCGCGGUAAUACGGAGGGUGCAAGCGUUAUCCGGAUUUAUUGGGUUUAAAGGGUCCGUAGGCGGAUCUGUAAGUCAGUGGUGAAAUCUCACAGCUUAACUGUGAAACUGCCAUUGAUACUGCAGGUCUUGAGUGUUGUUGAAGUAGCUGGAAUAAGUAGUGUAGCGGUGAAAUGCAUAGAUAUUACUUAGAACACCAAUUGCGAAGGCAGGUUACUAAGCAACAACUGACGCUGAUGGACGAAAGCGUGGGGAGCGAACAGGAUUAGAUACCCUGGUAGUCCACGCCGUAAACGAUGCUAACUCGUUUUUGGUAUUUCGGUAUCAGAGACUAAGCGAAAGUGAUAAGUUAGCCACCUGGGGAGUACGAACGCAAGUUUGAAACUCAAAGGAAUUGACGGGGGCCCGCACAAGCGGUGGAUUAUGUGGUUUAAUUCGAUGAUACGCGAGGAACCUUACCAAGGCUUAAAUGGGAAAUGACAGGCUUAGAAAUAAGGCUUUUCUUCGGACAUUUUUCAAGGUGCUGCAUGGUUGUCGUCAGCUCGUGCCGUGAAGGGGUUAGG
rnacentral:rRNA from 1 species